UACAGAGGGUGCGAGCGUUAAUCGGAAUUACUGGGCGUAAAGGGCGCGUAGGCGGCCUGCUAAGUCGAACGUGAAAUCCCUGGGCUCAACCCAGGAACUGCGUCCGAUACUGGUUGGCUUGAAUCCGGGAGAGGGACGUGGAAUUCCAGGUGUAGCGGUGAAAUGCGUAGAUAUCUGGAGGAACACCGGUGGCGGAAGGCGGCAUCCUGGACCGGUAUUGACGCGUGAGGCGCGAAAGCUAGGGGAGCAAACGGG
rnacentral:rRNA from 1 species